rnacentral:rRNA from 1 species
ACGCUCGACCCUACGGGAUGCAGCAGUGGGGAAUAUUGCACAAUGGGGGAAACCCUGAUGCAGCGACGCCGCGUGAAGGAAGAAGUAUCUCGGUAUGUAAACUUCUAUCAGCAGGGAAGAAAGUGACGGUACCUGACUAAGAAGCCCCGGCUAACUACGUGCCAGCAGCCGCGGUAAUCUGAGCGGGCUGGCAAGGC